GACGAACGCUGGCGGCGUGCUUAACACAUGCAAGUCGAACGCUGAAGGCCUGGCUUUUGUUGGGUUGGAUGAGUGGCGGACGGGUGAGUAACACGUGAGUAACCUGCCCUCUUCUUUGGGAUAACGCCCGGAAACGGGUGCUAAUACUGGAUAUUCACUGAUCUUCGCAUGGGGGUUGGUGGAAAGGUUUGUUCUGGUGGGGGAUGGGCUCGCGGCCUAUCAGCUUGUUGGUGGGGUGAUGGCCUACCAAGGCUUUGACGGGUAGCCGGCCUGAGAGGGUGACCGGUCACAUUGGGACUGAGAUACGGCCCAGACUCCUACGGGAGGCAGCAGUGGGGAAUAUUGCACAAUGGGCGAAAGCCUGAUGCAGCGACGCCGCGUGAGGGAUGGAGGCCUUCGGGUUGUAAACCUCUUUCGCUCAUGGUCAAGCCGCAACUGUGGGUUGUGGUGAGGGUAGUGGGUAAAGAAGCGCCGGCUAACUACGUG
rnacentral:rRNA from 1 species